rnacentral:misc_RNA from 1 species
AAACUAUAUAAUAGAAUGAGAAAUCCACAAGAAUGGCGAAAGGAAGCAACAGAAAAUAGAGGCAAUAUUUCACAAUGGAUCACUCAGUAUGUUUGAAGCUCUGUAACAAGCAAAAUGCCCAGAUCCUGCCUUCUCAUCCAACGCAAGGCCAUGUGGUAGAAAUACAUACCUUUUCAGCUUCCUUUGUCAACAUGGGGUUGUCCAACAAACCAUUUAGGACAAUAACAAUAGGCCCAACGUGAUGUGGAAGAGGCAAAAUGCCGAACACCUCGUGUGCUACCAGAAGUGCAUGUAUAAGCAACAGCUGCCGCUGCCGCUGCCGCAUGGUGAGCUCCCCACAAAAUAAAAAUACAGAACUACUUAUGAAGCAAUAAGUUCGGCUAUUGUUGAGGCAACGCCAACAUGAAUAUAUCAUUAUGCGUAUUUGACUAGAAAACUGAUGAAU